rnacentral:rRNA from 1 species
AUUGAACGCUGGCGGCAGGCCUAACACAUGCAAGUCGAACGGUAACAGGAAGACGCUUGCUUCUUUGCUGCCGAGUGGCGGACGGGUGAGUAAUGUCUGGGAAACUGCCUGAUGGAGGGGGAUAACUACUGGAAACGGUAGCUAAUACCGCAUAACGUCGCAAGACCAAAGAGGGGGACCUUCGGGCCUCUUGCCAUCGGAUGUGCCCAGAUGGGAUUAGCUAGUAGGUGGGGUAACGGCUCGCCUAGGCGACUAUCCCUAGCUGGUCUGAGAGGAUGAACGCCGACGCUGCAACAGAGACACCGACCAGACUACUACGGAAGGCAGCAGUGGGGAAUAUAGCACAAUGGGCGCAAGCCUGAUGCAGCCAUGCCGCGUGUAUGAAGACGGCCUUCGGGUUGUAAACUACUUCCAGCGGGGAGAAAGGGAGUAAAGUUAAGACCUUAGCUCAUUGACGUUACCCGCAGAAGAAGCACCGGCUAACUACGUG